rnacentral:rRNA from 1 species
GUGGGGAAUCUUGCGCAAUGGGCGAAAGCCUGACGCAGCCAUGCCGCGUGAAUGAUGAAGGUCUUAGGAUUGUAAAAUUCUUUCACCGGGGACGAUAAUGACGGUACCCGGAGAAGAAGCCCCGGCUAAUUUCGUGCCAGCAGCCGCGGUAAUACGAAGGGGGCUAGCGUUGCUCGGAAUUACUGGGCGUAAAGGGCGCGUAGGCGGACAGUUUAGUCAGAGGUGAAAGCCCAGGGCUCAACCUUGGAAUUGCCUUUGAUACUGGCUGUCUUGAGUACGGGAGAGGUGAGUGGAACUCCGAGUGUAGAGGUGAAAUUCGUAGAUAUUCGGAAGAACACCAGUGGCGAAGGCGACUCACUGGCCCGUUACUGACGCUGAGGCGCGAAAGCGUGGGGAGCAAACAGGAUUAGAUACCCCGGUAGUCC